GAAGAGGAGGAGGAGUCUGGAGUCUCUGUGGAGCCUGAGCCGAGCUGCUCCUGCCCCAUAAAGACAGAAGAAGAAGAAAAACCAGAGAUUAAACCAGAGACGAUGCGUCGGGUGUCGGCCGUGCGCUCCAAGAGGAAAGAACGAGACGUGACGA